CGAUAAGCUUCGGGGAGUUGCACGUAAACUUUGAUCCGAAGAUUUCCGAAUGAGGAAACUCACUUAGAGUAAUGUCUAAGUAUCAUUAAGUGAAUACAUAGCUUAAUGAGGGGAACUCAGGGAACUGAAACAUCUAAGUACCUGAAGGAAGAGAAAGAAAUUCGAUUCCGUAAGUAGCGGCGAGCGAACGCGGAUUAGCCCAAACCAAUAAAGUUUUCUUUAUUGGGGUUGCGGACAUAUCAUAACGAAGAGGUAUCGUAAUUGAAGAGGUUUGGAAAGACCCACCACAGAAGGUAAUAGUCCUGUAUGUUAAACGAGAAGACUUCAGAUAUGAUCCAGAGUACCACGGGACACGUGAAACCCUGUGGGAAGCAGGAGGGACCACCCUCCAAGGCUAAAUACUACCUAGUGACCGAUAGCGUAUAGUACCGUGAGGGAAAGGUGAAAAGAACCCCGGGAGGGGAGUGAAAUAGAACCUGAAACCCUGCACUUACAAGCUGUGGAAGCACAUUUCUUGUGUGACCGCGUACUUUUUGUAGAACGGGCCAACGAGUUACGUUAAGUAGCAAGGUUAAGCACUUAAGGUGUGGAGCCGUAGCGAAAGCGAGUUUUAACUGAGCGUUCAGUUACUUGACGUAGACCCGAAACCGGGCGACCUACCCAUGAGCAGGAUGAAGCGAAAGUAAAAUUUCGUGGAGGUCCGAACCCACGAGCGUUGAAAAGCUCGGGGAUGACUUGUGGGUAGCGGUGAAAUUCCAAUCGAGCCCGGAGAUAGCUGGUUCUCCCCGAAAUAGCUUUAGGGCUAGCCUCAAGGUGAGAGAUACGGAGGUAGAGCACUGAAUGUCCUAGGGGGUAUUGCACCUACCGAAGACUAUCAAACUCCGAAUGCCGUCAUCUUAUACUUGGGAGUCAGACUGUGGGUGAUAAGAUUCAUAGUCGAAAGGGCAACAGCCCAGAUCGUCAGCUAAGGUCCCUAAAUGUAAGUUAAGUGGUAAAGGAUGUGGGAUUGCACAGACAACCAGGAUGUUGGCUUAGAAGCAGCCACUCAUUCAAAGAGUGCGUAAUAGCUCACUGGUCGAGUGAUCCUGCGCCGAAGAUUUCCGGGGCUAAAACUUACUACCGAAGCUACGGCAUCAGUAAUGAUGGGUAGGGGAGCUUCCCAUACGGGUUGAAGCAUGACCGUAAGGACAUGUGGACAGUAUGGGAGUGAGAAUGUUGGCAUGAGUAGCGAGAUGUGGGUGAGAAUCCCACAGGCCGUAAACCCAAGGUUUCCAGGGGAAGGUUCGUCCGCCCUGGGUUAGUCGGGACCUAAGCUGAGGCCGAAAGGCGUAGGUGAUGGACAACAGGUUGAUAUUCCUGUACUACCGAUAACCGUUUGAGAGAAGGGAUGACACAGUAGGAUAAGCUAAGCACACUGUUGGUUAUGUGUGCCCAAGCAUUGAGGCAGUCAAAGUAGGCAAAUCCGCUUUGAUAAUGCUGGGAUGUGAUGGGGAGCGAAAUUUAGUAGCGAAGUAGCUGAUUUCACACUGUCAAGAAAAGUCUCUAUCGAGGUUAAAGGUACCCGUACCGCAAACCGACACAGGUGGGUGAGGAGAGUAUCCUAAGGCCAGCGAGAGAACUGUUGUUAAGGAACUCGGCAAAAUGACCCCGUAACUUAGGGAUAAGGGGUGCCACCAUCAGGUGGCCGCAGAGAAUAGGCCCAAGCGACUGUUUACCAAAAACAUAGGUUUCUGCUAAGUCGCAAGACGAUGUAUAGGAGCUGACGCCUGCCCGGUGCUGGAAGGUUAAGGGGAUCUGUUAGAGCAAUCGAAGCAGUGAACUUAAGCCCCAGUAAACGGCGGCCGUAACUAUAACGGUCCUAAGGUAGCGAAAUUCCUUGUCGGGUAAGUUCCGACCCGCACGAAAGGCGUAACGAUUUGGGCACUGUCUCAACAACAGACUCGGUGAAAUUGUAAUUCCGGUGAAGAUGCCGGAUACCUGCGACAGGACGGAAAGACCCCAUGGAGCUU
rnacentral:rRNA from 1 species